UGUUGACUAUAAUAUAGUACUGCCUUUCUAA
rnacentral:piRNA from 1 species